rnacentral:tRNA from 1 species
GUCUUUCGAGUAUUAGCUAUACAGUACAUGCGGCUUCCAACCGUAUAGUCUUGGUGAAACCCCAAGGUAAGACA